UGCAUUUUCAGUCUGCAGCCUUUAUAAGGAUAUUGCUCCACUGGGAUUAGAAGAAAAUUAUUAGAGGAAAAUAUCAGGUUCAGUCACCGUGCUGUGAAUAUUAUUUCUAGACAGGUCUGUUCUUCAUUUCAUGUUUCCUUCAAAAUGACCUGAAAAUGACCUGUUAAAGAGAAUUUACCUCAAAAUCGGGACAGUAUGCACGGACUCAUACCUACUGAUCCUGGGAUCUUAGGUAUCAGUUUUUCUGUCUGCUUUCAAUAUGAGUGGAUAUUGCUGUUGCUCCUCUGUGGGACCUGCAGUACUUUGCAGAUGAGUCUUCAGGGCUGGUGAGAUUUGCUGUGAAUGACUAAAACAUGCACUGGACAAUAGUGUAUUAGUCAGACCUUCUUCCAGCAAAGUAACUUCAUUCCAUUUACCUAAGGCUGGGACACAGUGCUCUGUGCAAGGGAAUGGACUCUCACCUGUGGAUGGACAGAUACCAGACUGCCUUCUCUGCUCAUUAAGGUCAUUAUUAGCAAUUUUUGUUCCAAUGAAAGACCUAGAAAUUCUCAUAUUUCUCUUAAAACCCAGUGGAGUACAUCUGUUCCUAAAUUUAUAGGGAAG
rnacentral:lncRNA from 1 species